UAGGGAAUCUUCCACAAUGGGCGAAAGCCUGAUGGAGCGACGCCGCGUGUGUGAUGAAGGGUUUCGGCUCGUAAAACACUGUUGUAAGAGAAGAAUGACAUUGAGAGUAACUGUUCAAUGUGUGACGGUAUCUUACCAGAAAGGAACGGCUAAAUACGUGCCAC
rnacentral:rRNA from 1 species